rnacentral:lncRNA from 1 species
GCCCCGCCCCGCUCUGUUCUGAUUGGAUGACGCCUGUGUGAUUAGCUUACAGUACUUCAGCAUGUUCUGAGCAUCCGACCUCUCUAAUGCAUGGCCCAGGUAUCACCGUGACUUCUCACGCCACUGCAGAUCAUUCCCGUGUGGUUUCAGGAGAUAACGGAGAGAUGCAGACGAGCAUCAGUGUGGAGGAGGAGGACGCAGAGAGACCGAAGACCCUCCCGUUCAGCGUCGAAGCACUGAUGGCAGACCGGAGACCGAACAGCUGUUCCGCGGGGACGCCGCGUGCUCUCAGCCCGCACCGGACCGGUGCUCGUUUGGUGGUUUCUGUUGAAGCUCUGAAACUGCAGGAGACCACGUGGCUCCAUCACCUCUCUCCCCCUGUAACUCCCGAGUGCCAGUGAGCUCAGGAAGAGAACCGGUCAUUUGUUCCAUCUUCUCAGGAAACAGGACAAAGUUACCAAAUGUUCCAGGCAUUGUUUCCAGAUCUGCAUGCUCAGUCAAACCUGGAGCUCUCGGUACAAUGCCUGCCAUGAAAAUAAAGCCAAAUGUCUGUGUGAAGGACGGCUGAUUCAUAUCUCUCUCAUGAGUCGGUUCUGUAACUGAUUUAACGAGUCGCUCCACACGCAGACACAGACCAAUGUGAAUCCAAACCGAGUCGAGAAGGAGCUAAACCAAUCAAGAAACAUCACUGCUCCACACAACCAUCUCAGAUGUUUUUAUAAGAACUCUGGAGAAAAGGCCAGCAUAACAACACUCCUCAUACAUUUCUGUGAAUCAUUGUGAAAUUUACUAGCAAUUUCUGAGUUAAUUUUUUUUACUUUGUUACAGUGUAUAUAAAUCACACAAACUCGUUUGUCAUUUAUUAAUAAAAUAUUUUAUUUUACUUCAUUAUUGAAAGUUACUAGCAGAAAUACUGUGAUUAAAGGCUGAGUUGGUGAAGAGAUUGCAGAAGAAUUGUCACAGAAGUGAUGUAUGUGAUAUAUGCAUGAGUUGUGAUUGACAGGACUAGAUGAAGAAGCUCCCUCAUGCGUGUAACCGAGCGCCGAGAAGAAAAUCAUACUAAAUAUCUCACUUACAUGUUGCGGUCAAUGAGCCAAACAUACAGCCAUGUAAACAGGCCACUGCUUUAUUACUGAACGGAUUGAGAUGAAUGACGGGCAUUUUGCUAAUUUCCAGUGGAAUGUUUUUCCCUCAC